rnacentral:rRNA from 1 species
GAUGAACGCUGGCGGCGUGCCUAAUACAUGCAAGUCGAGCGAACGGACGAGAAGCUUGCUUUUCUGAUGUUAGCGGCGGACGGGUGAGUAACACGUGGAUAACCUACCUAUAAGACUGGGAUAACUUCGGGAAACCGGAGCUAAUACCGGAUAAUAUUUUGAACCGCAUGGUUCAAAAGUGAAAGACGGUCUUGCUGUCACUUAUAGAUGGAUCCGCGCUGCAUUAGCUAGUUGGUAAGGUAACGGCUUACCAAGGCAACGAUGCAUAGCCGACCUGAGAGGGUGAUCGGCCACACUGGAACUGAGACACGGUCCAGACUCCUACGGGAGGCAGCAGUAGGGAAUCUUCCGCAAUGGGCGAAAGCCUGACGGAGCGACGCCGCGUGAGUGAUGAAGGUCUUCGGAUCGUAAAACUCUGUUAUUAGGGAAGAACAGAUGUGUAAGUAACUGUGCACAUCUUGACGGUACCUAAUCAGAAAGCCACGGCUAACUACGUG